GACGUAGGGGGCCAGCGUUGUUCGGAAUUACUGGGCGUAAAGCGCGUGUAGGCGGUUGCCCAAGUCGGGUGUGAAAGCCUUGAGCUCAACUCAAGAAAUGCACUCGGUACUGGGUGACUAGAGGACCGGAGAGGAUAGUGGAAUUCCCAGUGUAGUGGUGAAAUACGUAGAGAUUGGGAAGAACACCAGUGGCGAAGGCGGCUAUCUGGACGGUUUCUGACGCUAAGACGCGAAAGCGUGGGGAGCAAACAGG
rnacentral:rRNA from 1 species